GUUGCAAUCAACGAAUAUAAGGAUGCGAAUAAGCGUAUGAGACGGCGGAAACAAUUUCUUGACGAGAGUACGACCCCAGAUGCGAAUUCGGAGUUAAGCGCGCGACAAUUUUCGAAUUCACACAUUAUACAGCAUAGUUGACUGUCUCACUGUUGAACUUCGCAAGCGGUUGAGCGCAUAUUCUGAUCUUCAAAAACUGUUUGGUUUCAUGACAGAGUUUGAGUUUCUCACCUUGGAUGAUUUACGGAAAUGUGCAACGCAUCUUGUGGAGUCUUAUCCAGAUGACAUUGAGGCGUCUUUUGUUGAUGAGAUAGGUCAGUUCAAAGCCAUCUUAGAAGCGAACCAAGACAGAACCAUCACCCACAUGAGUGAACUGCUGAAGUUAGAUGGAGGUCAACUUCAGACAACUUUUCCAAAUGUUGCCAUCGCUGUACGCAUAUACUUAACAAUUCAAGUUAAUAACUGUCAAGGUGAGAGGUCAUUUUCAACAUUAGCACGCGUGAAAAACUAUCUGAGGAACACCAUGAGUAAGGAAAGGUUGACAGCAUUGGGGCUAGUGUCUAUUGAAUGUCAAGUCCUCAGAGAACUAGACUUCACACAGCUGAUCGAUGACUUUUGCCAGCUGAAGUGUCGUAAAAGAGACUUAUAGGCUGGAAUCUGUUACAUGAAUUAAGUUGUAGUAUCAAGUAUGAUUUUCAAUAUACAGAAGGGGACCAGAGGGAAGGGGGCCCCUGUAACAUGUUCAGCGUUGUGCCCCAAAACAGCUUAAUCCGGCCCUGGGCGAAGUCUUGAUUUAAGUCAGGAAAUGCAAUUGAGAGUAUCUCAUGCCUUUGUCUUUUGAUCAAGGUAAUAUAAAUAGACCCGAAUUA